AUGCUUUGCCAGGUCCCAGUGGGAGCACUUUUAUUAAAAAAAAUAUUGAUUUUUACCCAAAGCUGGGGAGAAAACACCUUGUGUGUCACACUGAGCGCUCAGCCUGGCCGGGACAGGCUUUGCAGCCCUCUGAGCCCCUUUUAUUCACGGCCCCCUUUUGCCCUUUGCACCAUGAAUUCCAUCCAGGCUCUGAUUUCAGAUGAGGCUUUGGGUGCGUCACCGCUCUCUGCACCCUCCUCCACCAGCUCUUUGCCCAAGGCCGGGUUUGGGGGCACGGACCUUGGCAGGAGCCGUGGCAGCCACCACACAGGGAUGCGUGGCAAGAUGCGGGAUGCGCAGCAGGAUGAGGGAUGCGCGGCAGGAUGCGGGAGUGAGCGCGGGGGGCGCGCUGCCUCCCUCCCGUCGCCAGGGCAACCGGCCUCCAUCGCCUCCCACCCGUGGGGGACCCCCACAGCCCCCACUCGAUGCAGGGGGCACGAGGCCCUCCCUGCCGCGGUGCUGGACUGCAGCAUCCCCGCCUCCGCAGCGGGCUGGGGACAGCGGCGGGCGGGAGCGCACUUCCCUCGGCCACGGCCGGAGCAAGAGGAACGCCGCGAACCUGAAAGAGAAGGGAGAAGGGUUCGGAUCCUGCCGGUCAUCUGAUCCAGGUCAAGCAGGACUUUACCUCGCCAGCAGCCCCUGGAGCUCCUCACCAGUGCGGCUUGCAGCGCCCGCCGCUGCCCCUCAGCAGCGGGCUGGGGGGGUCUUUCAAUCCCUGGAGGAUUGAGAGGUAAAAUAUCUCCAGAUUGCUUUCACGUUCUGCUUGCUUCCCCCGGCGGGGUUUAAUGAAACCAUUAGGAUCUGUACAGGUUCCUUAAGGUGGAGGGUGGCCCAGGGUGCAACACUGCUGCCCUGAGGAGCACGCAGGGAGGGGACAGACAGGCUGGGGGGGCACGGGGGCCCUCGGCCACGAUCUGAGGGGUUGGCAGGGGAGUGAGCCCCGCGUCCACCACACGCCGCAGCUCCCAUCUCCUUCUCUCUGCCCUGCACCCUGCCUGCAGGCUGGCACCCGUCCCGCCGGUGUCCCCCCCC
ensembl:lncRNA